CUACGGAGUACAAAAAUCAUUAUUUUUAAUGAUUAUUAACCUUUUUUACUAGACCUUAUUUAUUUGUUAUGUGCUUUGUUUUUAUGGUCUACAAAGCUUAUAUCUAGUUUUGAGAGAGCAUUCUCUCUUUGUUCUUUGAAAACUGAAUAGUAAAUUUUAAAAUAUUUACAACGACAUCAAUAAUUAAUUGAUUUAGGUCAAUUUGUUUUGAUUCAUCGAGAUAAAAAACAAUCAUAAAUUUUUGAUUCAUUGAAAUGUCUUAAAAUACACAUCAUAAUGUAACCAAUACAAUAGGAUAAAUACUUA
rnacentral:misc_RNA from 1 species